rfam:Xenopus tropicalis strain Nigerian Chr09_contig_504, whole genome shotgun sequence.
GGCUCUGUGGCGCAAUGGAUAGCGCAUUGGACUUCUAGGUGAAAGAAGAAAUUCAAAGGUUGUGGGUUCGAAUCCCAUCAGAGUCG